rnacentral:rRNA from 1 species
GAUGAACGCUGGCGGCGUGCCUAAUACAUGCAAGUCGAGCGAACAGACGAGGAGCUUGCUCCUCUGACGUUAGCGGCGGACGGGUGAGUAACACGUGGAUAACCUACCUAUAAGACUGGGAUAACUUCGGGAAACCGGAGCUAAUACCGGAUAAUAUAUUGAACCGCAUGGUUCAAUAGUGAAAGACGGUUUUGCUGUCACUUAUAGAUGGAUCCGCGCCGCAUUAGCUAGUUGGUAAGGUAACGGCUUACCAAGGCAACGAUGCGUAGCCGACCUGAGAGGGUGAUCGGCCACACUGGAACUGAGACACGGUCCAGACUCCUACGGGAGGCAGCAGUAGGGAAUCUUCCGCAAUGGGCGAAAGCCUGACGGAGCAACGCCGCGUGAGUGAUGAAGGUCUUCGGAUCGUAAACCUCUGUUAUUAGGGAAGAACAAAUGUGUAAGUAACUAUGCACGUCUUGACGGUACCUAAUCAGAAAGCCGCGGCUAACUACGUG